rnacentral:rRNA from 1 species
GACGAACGCUGGCGGCGUGCUUAACACAUGCAAGUCGAGCGGUAAGGCCCUUUCGGGGGUACACGAGCGGCGAACGGGUGAGUAACACGUGGGUGACCUGCCCUCAGCUCUGGGAUAAGCCUGGGAAACCGGGUCUAAUACUGGAUAUGACUCCAUGACGCAUGUUGGUGGGGUGGAAAGCCUUGUGCGGCUGAGGAUGGGCCCGCGGCCUAUCAGCUUGUUGGGUGGGGUGAGGCCUACCAAGGCGACGACGGGUAGCCGGCCUGAGAGGGCGACCGGCCACACUGGGACUGAGACACGGCCCAGACUCCUAC